CGCCUGGGGAGUACGGGUGAGGUAACGGCUCACCAAGGCAUCGACGGGUAGCUGGUCUGAGAGGACGAUCAGCCACACUGGGACUGAGACACGGCCCAGACUCCUACGGGAGGCAGCAGUAGGGAAUCUUGCGCAAUGGGCGAAAGCCUGACGCAGCAACGCCGCGUGGGGGAUGAAUGCCUUCGGGUUGUAAACCCCUUUCAGCAGGGACGAAAAUGACGGUACCUGCAGAAGAAGCUCCGGCCAACUACGUGCCAGCAGCCGCGGUAAUACGUAGGGAGCGAGCGUUGUCCGGAAUUAUUGGGCGUAAAGAGCUCGUAGGCGGUUCAGUAAGUCGGGUGUGAAAACUCAAGGCUCAACCUCGAGACGCCACCUGAUACUGCUGUGACUAGAGUCCGGUAGGGGAGUGUGGAAUUCCUGGUGUAGCGGUGAAAUGCGCAGAUAUCAGGAGGAACACCAGCAGCGAAGGCGGCACUCUGGGCCGGUACUGACGCUCAGGAGCGAAAGCAUGGGGAGCGAACAGGAUUAGAUACCCUGGUAGUCCAUGCCGUAAACGUUGGGCACUAGGUGUGGGAUUUAACUAACAAAUUCCGUGCCGUAGCUAACGCAUUAAGUGCCCCGCCUGGGGAGUACGG
rnacentral:rRNA from 1 species